ACUCUGCACUCCGAGGCUCAGGGAGCAAGUGUUUGGAGUGGGGGGGAAAGUUGGCUUUUUUUCCCCCUCCUUGGUCUUUAGCGCCCUUUUCUCUCCCUCAGAAGAGAAGAGCGACAUAAACUAUUUUAGACGCAAUCAAGGAAGAAUCGCCCAUCAUGUGGAAUUGAGCGGCAGUUUUAAAUGUACUAAGAGAAGACUGGUCUCGAAAAAAAAAAAAAAAAACAUUUUUUUCCCCUUCUUUUUUUGGAGACGCCUAAAGGAGCCUGUUUGUGUGCUGUGUGGCCACGUUCUGCUGUGACUGGAUCUUGUCUUCUGCCUGGCUCCUCGAUUUCCGUCCGGCUGGAUUUGGGGACAACACUGCCUGGCGCAGACAGAUCAAGUGAGUAUCUUGGCGGCAUGAAGGCUGCAUGCUUCCCCGGUUACGCCAGGCCCGCAGCUCCCGUGGUUUGUCCGGCACCCACACAAGGGCCUGGCGAGGGCCGCUCCGAGGGCCAGUCCGGGGCUUUGCUUCAGCUAAUUGAUUGUAUGUCUCCAAUACCAAACCUGUUGAACUCGUGAGUUGUCCGAGCCAGGACUGUUAAUUAUCCUUUGGGCAGACCCCUAAUUUUAGAAAGGUGCCAGGAAAAUUCGCACAGGGAAAAGAAAAAGGACGUAAAUUAAUAGUAUUGGUGGAGAGACUUUCUUCUCUUAGAUGCCGUGCUAAGUGAAAUUGGGUUUUGCGUUUUUGAAUUCUGUAUUCUCAUUUUGAAUGUGCUGUUUUUGAAUAGCCCCCAAAGUUUCAGUUACCUGGCACUGAAGUCACGGUGGAAAACUUACGUAAAAUAGCUCGUUGCAUCUGGUAGAUUCUCCUCCCCCCACACCCUUUUUUCUUCCACUUUUUGGGUUUUGGAGGUGAGAGACUGCUUUAUAGGGUUACUCCAAGUUUAGCUUUAACCGAGAUGCGACCUUCGUGGUUAGUUAUUGGGACUUGGAGCUAUUCCAUUUCAGAUGCCUCUGGAAUCGGAGCGAAGCGAGUUCUCUUGCUUAAGAGCCAACCAACUGAAGGCAAGAUCUCUUUCGGUGGUUAGGAACUAUCUGCAGAAAAUCCUGAGCAAAGAGUACCUAGCCCCCCCCCCCCCGCCCCCAUUAGGAUCUGCCGCUUUUUUCUCUUGCAAAUGUGCAGGCGGUGUUUGAAUAGAAUACUGUCUGGAGGGGUCAGGGCAAUUCAGUGGAAUUGAUCAGAAGUUAGACCCCAGGCCCUGUCAUGUCACGGCCACGGCCGUGGGGUGGGGGUGGGGGUUAAAGCUGUGGCUGUCUUGGGUCCACAACUAUGGAGUCAGAUCGUUUUCUCUCUCUCCUGGCGCCCACACCUGCCCACCACCCUUCAUCUCCACCUUGGCACCAGUAACGAGGGCGCUGUUAGGAACACGCCACAGUAGUCAGCAUAAUUGAACCGGUGAAUACUUUCAUUUUGCAAAACAACAGCUCCACUCCUCCAGUCCAAAAUAAUAGUAAGCAUCAGAAAAUCAUUUUUAAAACACGCAACCUAUUUUCGGGAGUAUGUAAGAUGUCCUAAUAUUGUAUCGUGGGGUGUGGGGGAAGGGCUUAAAAAUCCACCACUUUACAGCAAUCAGGUUUUACAUUAUUCAUUGAUUUACUGAAGGAAAGAGCCAAUCAGGAGCCAUAGAUAUGAAUGCACAUUUCACUGUGCUGGAGCCUUACAGUAAACUAUUUGCAUCUUUCUCAUGGAUUAGACAUUUAUCCUGGGAUUCCCAUUGUUUGAAAGGCCAAGAAAUUCAGUCUCUUAAACAUUUAGAAAACAAGACUUUGUUCCAGACUUAAAAUCCUUGCAUGGUGGGGCUCUCUCUUCUCUUUUGUAUGGGAGGUUACAAGGUUCAAAUCCCUAAUGUUUCUUAAGUCUCUCUUCUUUCCAAGCUAAAAAUAAAA
rnacentral:lncRNA from 1 species